CCGCGCAGCCUCUCCCGCCGCCGCGCGCUGCAGCGCUGCUCUACCCUGUGGGCCCUUCCGGCCAGGGGCUCGCAGCAGCCCUGGGAAUGGCGCGCGGCGCCCGGACUCUGAAUGCGUGGAGGGCAGCGGCCUGGCCUGCCUUCAGCCGCCUUGUCCAUGGGAGCCCAGAAGGCCCCGAAGCGGCCCCGGUCCGCGUUCUCUGGCCAGGAAAUGGGCAGAUUGACUUGAGCGCGUUUGAGUUUUCGGCCAUCGGCAGUGUGCCACGGAGUAUUUAAUACAAGCGGGGAUUUCUUUCUUGGAAAGGGAAGGCUGUCAAAUGCAUGUGCGCCUAGCCUGUCACAGUGACGUCAACGUAGAAGUAAAAUGCCAUUUAAGGUUUAAGUCUUGGUAACUGUUUCAAGGUGCACAACUUGGCCGAAAUCGAAUGAGCAUCACUAACUGAAGGUGAAAGGUGGAUAUCUGAAGCAGACUGCUGCUUGCCAAACAUUACCUGGGAGCACAAAAAUGACCUAAGGAUGUCCUUGGUGAGGAAUUUGAAAGAUUCAUCUUCGCAAGGGUUGCUUGGAUUAUUUAAAAUACCCAGGAGCCUGAAGGGUGCUAAGAUUCUGGACAGUCUGUAAACGUGCAUUUAAAACUGUGGGGCUAUAAAUAAAUAUUUUGAUGUGCUUUGA